AUGCUCGACAGGAGCCCGGUGCUAGAGACGCUCUGCCUCGAAGGGAACCUGUUCACGCUCCGGCUGCGCCUUGUCAGCCAAAGCCUCCGGUGCGUGCCGAUCAUCGGGUCCUUCUUGGAGGAGAUCUUCGUGGUGAACGCCCCGCUCCUUGAGCGCCUCAUCAAUUUGGAAGGUUUGACCCCUGAGGCCGGCUGCACCAAGGUCAAGAUUGGCCAUGCCCCCAAGCUGCAAUUGUUGGCAUACCUGCAGUUGGACACGCGGAAUCACGUCCUGGAGGUCGGCAACACAAUCAUCAAGGCUGGUACAAGGGUGAGCCCAAGAACCAUGGUGACAAGUGUGACAGUCCUGGCUUUGGAGGUGCGUUUCGGAGUGCGCAAUGAUGCCAAGAUGAUUCCCAGUGUCCUCGGAUGCUUUCCUAAUGUCGAGACGCUGUACAUCAAGUCUGGACAGCCUGAUCAAUCCACUGGCAAGCUCAACCAAAAGUUCUGGCACGACUCUGGUGCCAUAGAAUGCAUCCGUUCGCGCAUCAAGCGGCUGAUUUUCCAUGAUUUCCAAGGGGGUCGAAGUGAGCUCGCCUUCCUCAAAUACUUCGUCGAGAGUGCGUUGAUGCUCAAGCAGGUGGUGAUCCUGUUGUCCGCUGGCUCCACUUUGGCGGCGGAGGAGGUGCAUUCCAAAAUGGCGAAUGUGAAACGGGCAGGUGAAAUCUCCUUAAUGCUGGUCACUGGCUAUUCUGAUCUUGAAGGACGUUACAAGAGAGGGUCUGAAUUUUCUCUUGGCGAGCUUUUUUCCCUUAUGAAAUUUCCUUGGGCAAAGUAA
rnacentral:rRNA from 1 species